GGACACAAAUUGUUCCUGGCGUGCUUGAAAUCUACAGGAACAUAUGCACGUUUUGGGAUUGUGCUCAGGUGAAAGCAUAUUGGGAAACUAUAUUUGCUUAAACACCACAUUUUUAAAGGUGGAACAGAGAAAGGAGAGUGAAAGAGGCAAUAAAGCCCCAAUCCAGAAAACACUUUCAAAUGGAUUUAACUUUAAGCAUAUCAAUAGCAUCCUUGAAGCUACUGCAAGCUAAAAGCUAAGCAAAAUUUUUUGCAGAAUCAGGGCCUUAGACUGCAAAUUCACUGGGGCACAGGCUGUCUCCAUCAUUUGUACAGCACCUACUGUAAUUAUGCCCCAGUCCUUAUUAAGGCCAUAGGAUGCUACUGUAAUGCAAAGAGCAGCAGCUAGGCUAAGAAUUAAAUAUGGAAUUUCAGCCCUAACUUUGAA